rnacentral:rRNA from 1 species
CGGCAACGGAUAUCUCGGCUCUCGGAUCGAUGAAGAACGUACCGAAAUGCGAUACUUGGUGUGAAUUGCAGAAUCCCGUGAACCAUCGAGUCUUUGAACGCAAGUUGCGCCCGAAGCCAUCAGGCCGAGGGCACGCCUGCCUGGGCGUCACACGCCGUUGCCCCC